rnacentral:rRNA from 1 species
CGUGUAGGCGGCUUGAUAAGUCAGAUGUGAAAGCCCUGGGCUCAACCCGGGAAGUGCAUUUGAAACUGUCAUGCUGGAGUAAGGGAGAGGGAAGUGGAAUUCCUGGUGUAGAGGUGAAAUUCGUAGAUAUCAGGAGGAACACCGGUGGCGAAGGCGACUUCCUGGCCCUAUACUGACGCUGAGACGCGAGAGCGUGGGGAGCAAACAGGAUUAGAUACCCUGGUAGUCCACGCCGUAAACGAUGUUCACUAGGUGUUGGGGGUAUUGACCCCCUCAGUGCCGGAGCUAACGCAUUAAGUGAACCGCCUGGGGAGUACGGUCGCAAGACUAAA